AUCACUGCAAAUCUCUUAAUGCUGCAAAUUUGUCUCUUAAAUCAAAUCACUUAAAGAAACCCAAUUAAUCUCUCUCACUCUCUCUUUCUCUCUUUGCCUUUUUUCUUCUCUUCCAUGCCAUCUCUCUCUUUUCUUUCUCUUUCCUCUUCCCUUCGGUGCGCAACUUCCAUUACCGAUCCUUUUUUGUGAUUUAAGUCUCCUCACCAGCAAGCUUCCGAUCAUCCUUUGCUUUGUUAGCACACUACCAUUCGGUGCCCCUUCACACCGGCAUUGCUCCAUUCAUCUCACUCGCUCAUCGACCAUUCAUCAACGCCGAUCACCACCAUUCAUCUCAUCGGCCUUGCUUGACUCAUAGGUCAUUCAUCAAAUCAAGCAUCUCUUCACCUAUCAUCUCAUCUUACAUUAAUUCGGUUGAUAUCUCUUAGUCGAUUUUCCUUUUAUCUUACACUUUGUUGCAAUUUCUCAAGGUACCUACUCAGGUACGUGCAGAAUAUUGAUUGGUAUCUAUAGUAUAUUAGUUGGUGCCUAUAAAGUGUUAAUUGGUACCUGCAGUCGGUACUUAUGGUUUGUAGGUCAAUAUCCGCAAAUGGUACCUGCCAAUGUGUUGGUCAAAACCUGUGAUGUGUAGGUUGGUACCUCCAGCUAGUACCUACUAAUUUACUAGUCAGUCUUGGAGUCGGUAACUGCCAAUUGCCUACAUUUGUUAAAUAUAAGUAUUGUAGAACUUGUAUGUCUGCGUUUCUUACUUAACUUUUGUUGCUUGGGAAUGCUCACUCUGCCCCUUGUAUUUGCAGUUAUGGCAUCGGACUCUUCUGGUUCAUAAGUACUAAUCGGUACCUAGGUACCAGCAGCUCCGCAGGUACCAUUAGCAGUACCACGGGUUUCUCCUUUCAGCAAUGGUAUUCCUAGCUCUUUCUCGUCAAGUGCAGGUUCUUAGAAAAAGCCGUAAAGUCAAGUAUUUGAGGCUGUGGGUCAGCCUUGGUUAUUUUACGCUCAAAGUUAUCCCAUCAAUUUCCUACAAGGCUGAGUAGCAGGUAUUUCUGUUUGUAAGUACGAAAACAGUGGGCCUGCAAUUUUCCGAUACACGACGCACCGAAUUCUCCUGUGAUUGGACAAUAAGGAAGAUAGUGGAAGCAACUGAGUGGGGUUUAGCAUUAUCGCUGGGACAAAAAUGGUGACUGGUCACCACGUUACACCUCUCAAUCACACAUGGCCACGUGGACCCACAUCAGGCGAUCCGGUUUCUUGCCAAAAGCUGCUCCCCCUGAUAACACGUUUCUCUUCCAAGAUUUGCAAGCCCAACGCCCGGAGCAGCUUUCCAGGACAGAGAAAAGAAACCCUGGUGGAUUUCAAACCCUCUCUCAUCAAGAGGCAAGAUAGUUCAAUUGAUCCUGCUUGUGUUUCUCGUCUGGUUUGUUUGUAAUUGGUGUGCACUAUUAGUUAAAAGUUAAAAAAAAAAGUUUUAAUUAAAUAGACAACAAAUUAAGAAAAAAUA